CGGGGACAUUUAUAGAGGAGGACACUCCUACAGAGAUCAGCACAGAAACCAACUCAUCACUUUCAAAUGAGAGAUGUCGUAGUGGUCCAGCAACUGAAGCGUACCAAGAAGGAAGAGUAUCAUUUGGACCUCAGACUACAGUGAUCGCGGUUACCCGCACAGCUAUUCUGGUAGAGGGACAACAGGCUUGGAUCCAUGCCAGUCGUGUGAAGAAGGUCGCUUAUUUCACCACAGACUUCUGGGAAAGCCUUGUGCCUCUUAUUCUGGGCUGCCCUGAUCGUGUUCCUGCCAAUUUGGCUGACAACUAACUGUAUUUAUCAUCCUGAAGAUUUGGGACACAUAAAGAGCAUUUGUGGAGCUUCUAACAGUCCACAACAGAAUGAUAUGAAUAAUACACAUGACAGACACAAGAGAAAUGAAAACUCAGAAAGUUUUACAGAUAAAAUGUUAUUAUUGAAGUUUAAAUAUGCCUAUGCACAGAAAUCAGGAUAUGAAAAAUGUUGGAUAUGUAGUAAAUUAUACCCCUCCAGCGUUAGUAUUCCUCUCAUGGCUGUACCUUUAAAUAUCACAAAUGUUCUAUUAUUGUUAAAAUACAAUUAGUACUACAAUGGCAAUUAGAACUGAGGAAGAUCACCCCAGGGAAGAGAUAGAGUGUUAUCAGAUUGUCAGAUUAGCAGAUUUGUAUGAUGCCAAGAUGGGUGAUAUGAAUGAGUAAAAGAUAUGUAUCCACAUACACCUUAAGAAGAUCUUUGCUCCACAUAGAUGUGAAGUAGCACUGUGGACCCUUUGGUGUCAUACUAGGUAGAGAAGAUAUGGUAGUGACCCCGCAAUAGGGUACUGAUAAUGUUGAGAUAUAUAUAUCUAUAAAGAAGUAAGCAAAUUACAAGAUGACGCUAGAAAUAUUGCCAAAACAUGGGAUCCUUUUGCAAACCUAAAUUCUGGAGUAGGAAUACUGACAUGGUUAAAAGGUGCUGCCAUAACCAUCAUUAUGAUUAUUCUUUUUGUUUUGUUCCUAUAUGCGUGUUAUAAGCUUAUAAUGUGCAUAAUUUCCAAGGCAUCCCGAACCCCUGAUCCUGCUGCGGCGAAUAGGAUUUAUCUAAGUAUGUAUUAUGAUAGAAGAAAUAUUAUCUAAUUGUGAGACAUAUUGUGUCUCAAAGAGAGGAAUUGUAAUAAAUAUAGCAUUAUAACCCCCAUUGUAAUUUCAGGGUGCCGAUGUCAUUGCCUAAUAAAAAAUUACAAGUUACAUAAAUGUCACAAAUUGCUGAUGUGAGGAAACCUUUUCCCCUACUUUAAGAAAUGUAUGUCAUGUGUAGAAAUCUUUUCUCUAGUUCUGUAAUCUAUGAACUUUGCUUCGGCUCAUGUUUGUUUAAGAUAAGGUAUACUGCUAUAGUGCUUAUGUAAACUCAUAAACCAGAGGUUUUCCAGGUCAUAUCCAUACGUUAAAUGAACUUGGGUAACAGCUGAGUAAAUGAUUGACUUAAAUGUAUUUUUGAAAAACCACACGUAUGCAUUGUAAGAAUGACAAAGGUGAUUCUGAAUCUGUAUAAAUAUGAACAAACUCUCAGUAAAAGCCAGAUGUCAUUUGUCACAA